rnacentral:rRNA from 1 species
UCUGGGGGGAGUAUGGUCGCAAGGCUGAAACUUAAAGGAAUUGACGGAAGGGCACCACCAGGAGUGGAGCCUGCGGCUUAAUUUGACUCAACACGGGAAAACUUACCAGGUCCGGACAUAAGAAGGAUUGACAGAUUGAGAGCUCUUUCAUGAUUUUAUGGGUGGUGGUGCAUGGCCGUUCUUAGUUGGUGGAGUGAUUUGUCUGGUUGAUUCCGUUAACGAACGAGACCUCAGCCUGCUAAAUAGUUAUGCUAUUCUUGAAUAGCUUAGCUUCUUAGAGGGACUUUCCGGGUCU